rnacentral:lncRNA from 1 species
GUGUUGUUAUUGACACCACUGGGCGUGUUGCUAUUGACGCCACUGGGCGUGAUGUUAUUGACGCCACUGGACAGGUUGUUAUUGACGCCACUGGGCGUGUUGUUAUCAAAGCCACUGGGCAGGUUGACAUUGAAGCCAUUUGGCAAGAUGCUGUUGAAGCCACUGGGUAGGUUGUUAUUGACGCCUCUUGGCGUGUUAUUGACGCCACUGGGCGUGUUGUUAUUGACGCCACUGGGCAGGUUGUU